rnacentral:rRNA from 1 species
AUCUUUAGUUACCAUCAUUCAUUGGGGACUCUAAAGACACUGCCCGGUCAACGGGGAGGAAGGUGGGAUGACGUCAAGUCCUCAUGGCCCUUAUGUCCAGGGCUACACACGUGCUACAAUGGGCAGUACAAAGGGUAGCAAGCCUGCGAGGUGGAGCUAAUCUCAUAAAGCCGGUCUCAGUUCGGAUUGGAGUCUGCAACUCGACUCCAUGAAGUUGGAAUCGCUAGUAAUCGCGGAUCAGCACGCCGCGGUGAAUACGUUCCCGGGCCUU